AUUGAACGCCGGCGGCAUGCUUUACACAUGCAAGUCGAACGGUAACAGGCCGCAAGGUGCUGACGAGUGGCGAACGGGUGAGUAAUGCAUCGGAACGUGCCCAGUCGUGGGGGAUAACGCAGCGAAAGCUGCGCUAAUACCGCAUACGAUCUAUGGAUGAAAGCGGGGGACCGUAAGGCCUCGCGCGAUUGGAGCGGCCGAUGUCAGAUUAGGUAGUUGGUGGGGUAAAGGCUCACCAAGCCAACGAUCUGUAGCUGGUCUGAGAGGACGACCAGCCACACUGGGACUGAGACACGGCCCAGACUCCUACGGGAGGCAGCAGUGGGGAAUUUUGGACAAUGGGCGCAAGCCUGAUCCAGCAAUGCCGCGUGCAGGAAGAAGGCCUUCGGGUUGUAAACUGCUUUUGUACGGAACGAAACGGUCCUGGUUAAUACCUGGGGCUAAUUACGGUACCGUAAGAAUAAGCACCGGCUAACUACGUGCCAGCCGCCGCCGUAACAC
rnacentral:rRNA from 1 species